GACGAACGCUGGCGGCGUGCUUAACACAUGCAAGUCGAACGGAAAGGCCCUGCUUUUGUGGGGUGCUCGAGUGGCGAACGGGUGAGUAACACGUGAGUAACCUGCCCUUGACUUUGGGAUAACUUCAGGAAACUGGGGCUAAUACCGGAUAGGAGCUCCUGCUGCAUGGUGGGGGUUGGAAAGUUUCGGCGGUUGGGGAUGGACUCGCGGCUUAUCAGCUUGUUGGUGGGGUAGUGGCUUACCAAGGCUUUGACGGGUAGCCGGCCUGAGAGGGUGACCGGCCACAUUGGGACUGAGAUACGGCCCAGACUCCUACGGGAGGCAGCAGUGGGGAAUAUUGCACAAUGGGCGGAAGCCUGAUGCAGCAACGCCGCGUGCGGGAUGACGGCCUUCGGGUUGUAAACCGCUUUCGCCUGUGACGAAGCGUGAGUGACGGUAAUGGGUAAAGAAGCACCGGCUAACUACGUGCCAGCAGCCGCGGUGAUACGUAGGGUGCGAGCGUUGUCCGGAUUUAUUGGGCGUAAAGGGCUCGUAGGUGAUUGAUCGCGUCGGAAGUGUAAUCUUGGGGCUUAACCCUGAGCGUGCUUUCGAUACGGGUUGACUUGAGGAAGGUAGGGGAGAAUGGAAUUCCUGGUGGAGCGGUGGAAUGCGCAGAUAUCAGGAGGAACACCAGUGGCGAAGGCGGUUCUCUGGGCCUUUCCUGACGCUGAGGAGCGAAAGCGUGGGGAGCGAACAGGCUUAGAUACCCUGGUAGUCCACGCUGUAAACGGUGGGUACUAGGUGCGGGGUCCAUUCCACGGGUUCCGUGCCGUAGCUAACGCUUUAAGUACCCCGCCUGGGGAGUACGGCCGCAAGGCUAAAACUCAAAGGAAUUGACGGGGCCCCGCACAAGCGGCGGAGCAUGCGGAUUAAUUCGAUGCAACGCGUAGAACCUUACCUGGGUUUGACAUGGAUCGGGAGCGCUCAGAGAUGGGUGUGCCUCUUUUGGGGUCGGUUCACAGGUGGUGCAUGGCUGUCGUCAGCUCGUGUCGUGAGAUGUUGGGUUAAGUCCCGCAACGAGCGCAACCCUUGUUCACUGUUGCCAGCACGUUAUGGUGGGGACUCAGUGGAGACCGCCGGGGUCAACUCGGAGGAAGGUGGGGAUGACGUCAAGUCAUCAUGCCCCUUAUGUCCAGGGCUUCACGCAUGCUACAAUGGCUGGUACAGAGAGUGGCGAGCCUGUGAGGGUGAGCGAAUCUCGGAAAGCCGGUCUCAGUUCGGAUUGGGGUCUGCAACUCGACCUCAUGAAGUCGGAGUCGCUAGUAAUCGCAGAUCAGCAACGCUGCGGUGAAUACGUUCCCGGG
rnacentral:rRNA from 1 species